UACGUAGGGGGCAAGCGUUGUCCGGAAUUAUUGGGCGUAAAGCGCGCGCAGGCGGUUCUUUAAGUCUGAUGUGAAAGCCCGCGGCUCAACCGUGGAGGGUCAUUGGAAACUGGGAGACUUGAGCACAGAAGAGGAGAGUGGGAUUCCACGUGUAGCGGUGAAAUGCGUAGAGAUGUGGAGGAACACCAGUGGCGAAGGCGACUCUCUGGUCUGUAACUGACGCUGAGGCGCGAAAGCGUGGGGAGCGAACAGG
rnacentral:misc_RNA from 1 species